rnacentral:rRNA from 1 species
UACGGAGGGUGCAAGCGUUAUCCGGAUUCAUUGGGUUUAAAGGGUGCGUAGGCGGUUUUUUAAGUCAGUGGUGAAAUUAGCAGGCUCAACCUGUUACCUGCCAUUGAUACUGAAAGACUUGAGUACUAUCGACGCGGGAGGAAUGCGACAAGUAGCGGUGAAAUGCUUAGAUAUGUCGCAGAACACCGAUAGCGAAGGCAUCUCGCGAGGUAGUCACUGACGCUGAGGCACGAAAGCGUGGGUAUCAAACAGGAUUAGAUACCCUGGUAGUCCACGCUGUAAACGAUGAUAACUGGGUUUUUAGGAUUUACUCUUAGGAGCCUGAGCGAAAGCAUUAAGUUAUCCACCUGGGGAGUACGUUCGCAAGUAUG